GAGAGCGCCAGUGCGUAGCCACGAUUCUGGGAGAGGAGGUGCUCGGAGGAAAGGGCGGGGGUUGCUGAUGUAAUGGGGAGAAGUGAUUAAUCCUUCAGUUCGCUGUUUCAGCCUCCCCCCACCCCAACCUUCACCCGAUUUUUUUGAGCUGAAAAAAAAGUGAAACGAGGGAGCCAAUCUGGUAACUCGGGUUUUCUGUGGUAGGUGGGUUCAAAAUCUGAGCUGUAGGGAGCGCUAGAGAUUUCGUGCCCUUUAGCCAAGCAGAGGGUAUUUGCAAACCCUGGAGAUUUCCUUCUCAGAGCUUUGGGCUUGGUAACUGAAGUUUGGAAUCGGUUCCUAAUCCUAGAUCAUCUAAACCUGUUUGACCUUUGGCCAAUUGGACUUGUUCUUUGAAGAAGUGUAUACAAUGUUCGGGAAAAUAAUUAUGUGAGAGGAGAGAAGGCCUUCUGAAGUACAAGGCUCAGGGCAGGCACCCUACUUGCCCAAGUCUAAGAGUGGCAUUGCAGACCAAUAAUAAAUUCUCCCAUCUGGUGUCAGCCUUUACCUUUCAAUGCUGGGUCAAGGCAGAGGAUAGAAGAAUGCUUCCAGGGAAGGCAGAAGGAAAAAGAAGACACGUUCUCUGCCAGCAUAAGUGAGAAUCAGGGCCGUGCUUACUCCUCACAGAAACUAGGAACUUCUAAACAAUUAUUAAGGACUUAGUUUUGAUUUUCCUCCUUUGAAUGAGUAAGUAGUUUAAGACUUUUAGUAUUUUUUUUCUUUCUUUCUUUCUUUUUUUUAGAGAUGGGGUUUCUCCAUGUUGGCCAGGCUGGUUUCAAACUCCUGAUCUCAGGUGAUCCGCCCACCUCGGUGCCCGGCUGACUUUUAGUAUUUUUAGAAAGAGUUAAUUGGUUUUUUAAAAAGUUAUCACUGGUUGGGCAUGGUGACUCAUGCUUGUAAU
rnacentral:lncRNA from 1 species